rnacentral:rRNA from 1 species
AUGCCCUCGCUAGUGGAGGGCUGCGGCGUCGCGUGCCAGUUGAUGGCCACCGCUGCCUCACAGGCUGCAUGCGAAAAAACGCCGCCAGCCACAUGUGCCGGUGAAGACCACCUUGCCAGGGUCAACGGUCGCGCUGCACCGGAGGGCGCCUUGCACCGAGCCCAACGUCACGCGUCAGAUGUUGCUGCCUCUGGACCAAGUGCGUGUGCGGGGAUGCACGCUGCCGCCUGGGGCCGUCUUGAGAAGCUGUCAUGCUGCGGUAUAUGCGUCGCCGCUCCACACGCUGGAGGGCGCUAUGUCGAAUUCCGCUGA